GGGGAAUCUUGCGCAAUGGGGGAAACCCUGACGCAGUGACGCCGCGUGAACGAUGAAGUCCUUCGGGAUGUAAAGUUCUGUCAGGCGGGAAGAACCUCCCCCCGAUGCAAAUCGGGGGGAAAUGACGGUACCGCCAGAGGAAGCACUGGCUAAUUCCGUGCCAGCAGCCGCGGUAACACGGAGAGUGCAAGCGUUGUUCGGAAUUACUAGGCGUAAAGCGCGUGUAGGUGGUUAGUUAAGUCGGAUGUGAAAAUUCCAAGCUUAACUUGGAACCGGCAUUCGAAACUGGUUAACUUGAGUGUAGGAGAGGAGAGCGGAAUUCCUAGUGUAGCGGUGAAAUGCGUAGAUAUUAGGAAGAACACCGGUGGCGAAGGCGGCUCUCUGGCCUAAAACUGACACUGAGACGCGAAAGCGUGGGUAGCAAACAG
rnacentral:rRNA from 1 species